CUACGGGGCGCUGCAGUGAGGAAUAUUGGACAAUGGAGGCAACUCUGAUCCAGCCAUGCCGCGUGCAGGAAGACGGCCCUACGGGUUGUAAACUGCUUUUAUACAGGAAGAAACGCCACUACGUGUAGCGGUUUGACGGUACUGUACGAAUAAGGAUCGGCUAACUCCGUGCCAGCAGCCGCGGUAAUACGGAGGAUCCAAGCGUUAUCCGGAAUCAUUGGGUUUAAAGGGUCCGUAGGCGGUUUUUUAAGUCAGAGGUGAAAUCCUGCAGCUCAACUGUGGCAUUGCCUUUGAUACUGAAAGACUUGAGUUAUUGUGAAGUAGUUAGAAUGUGUAGUGUAGCGGUGAAAUGCAUAGAUAUUACACAGAAUACCGAUUGCGAAGGCAGAUUACUAACAAUAUACUGACGCUGAGGGACGAAAGCGUGGGUAGCGAACAGGAUUAGAUACCCUCGUAGUC
rnacentral:rRNA from 1 species